GUGGUCAAAUCAUGUUGAAACACCAGUUCUCAUAUGAUUACCAAAGUUAAGCAAUACUGAGCCUGGUCAGUACCAAGAUGGAAGACUGCUUGAGAAUACAGGUGCU